rnacentral:rRNA from 1 species
UACGUAGGGUGCGAGCGUUGUCCGGAAUUAUUGGGCGUAAAGAGCUUGUAGGCGGUCUGUCGCGUCUGCUGUGAAAAUCCGGGGCUCAACCCCGGACUUGCAGUGGGUACGGGCAGACUAGAGUGUGGUAGGGGAGACUGGAAUUCCUGGUGUAGCGGUGAAAUGCGCAGAUAUCAGGAGGAACACCGAUGGCGAAGGCAGGUCUCUAGAACGUAACUGACGCUGAGACGCGAAAGCGUGGGGAGCAAACAGG